rnacentral:rRNA from 1 species
UUCAUUCAAAGAGUGCGUAAUAGCUCACUAGUCGAGUGACCCUGCGCCGAAAAUGUACCGGGGCUAAAACAGUUUACCGAAGCUGUGGAUUACCGUUAAGGUAAUGGUAGGAGAGCGUUCUAUGUGUGAUGAAGGUAUACUGUGAAGAGUGCUGGAACGCAUAGAAGUGAGAAUGCCGGUAUGAGUAGCGAAAGACAGGUGAGAAUCCUGUCCACCGUAAGACUAAGGAUUCCAGGGGAAGGCUCGUCCGCCCUGGGUUAGUCGGGACCUAAGGAGAGACCGAAGGGUGUAUCCGAUGGACAACAGGUUGAUAUUCCUGUACUAGAGUAUAUAGUGAUGGAGGGACGCAGUAGGCUAACUAAACCGGACGACUGGAAGAGUCCGGCUAAGCAGUGAGGUGUGAUGUGAGUCAAAUGCUUACAUCUAUAACAUUGAGCUGUGAAGGGGAGCGAAGUUAAGUAGCGAAGUUAGAGACGUCACACUGCCAAGAAAAGCUUCUAGCGAUACGUAUACUCUACCCGUACCGCAAACCGACACAGGUAGUCGAGGCGAGUAGCCUCAGGUGAUCGAGAGAACUCUCGUUAAGGAACUCGGCAAAAUGGCCCCGUAACUUCGGGAGAAGGGGCGCUGACUGAAGGUCAGCCGCAGUGAAUAGGCCCAAGCAACUGUUUAUCAAAAACACAGCUCUCUGCUAAAUCGUAAGAUGAUGUAUAGGGGGUGACGCCUGCCCGGUGCUGGAAGGUUAAGAGGAGUGCUUAGCGCAAGCGAAGGUAUGAAUUGAAGCCCCAGUAAACGGCGGCC